rnacentral:rRNA from 1 species
GCAUGGAGAUGAUAUGAAAUAUGCUACGGCAUAGGUAGAGGAUGGACUUAUGGCGCAUUAGCUAGUUGGAGGGGUAACGGCCCACCAAGGCGACGAUGCGUAGCCGACCUGAGAGGGUGACCGGCCACACUGGGACUGAGACACGGCCCAGACUCCUACGGGAGGCAGCAGUAGGGAAUUUUCGGCAAUGGGGGAAACCCUGACCGAGCAACGCCGCGUGAAGGAAGAAGUAAUUCGUUAUGUAAACUUCUGUCAUAGAGGAAGAACGGUGCGUGUAGGGAAUGACAUGCAAGUGACGGUACUCUAUAAGAAAGCCACGGCUAACUACGUGCCAGCAGCCGCGGUAAUACGUAGGUGGCGAGCGUUAUCCGGAAUUAUUGGGCGUAAAGAGGGAGCAGGCGGCACUAAGGGUCUGUGGUGAAAGAUCGAAGCUUAACUUCGGUAAGCCAUGGAAACCGUAGAGCUAGAGUGUGUGAGAGGAUCGUGGAAUUCCAUGUGUAGCGGUGAAAUGCGUAGAUAUAUGGAGGAACACCAGUGGCGAAGGCGACGAUCUGGCGCAUAACUGACGCUCAGUCCCGAAAGCGUGGGGAGCAAAUAGGAUUAGAUACCCUAGUAGUCCACGCCGUAAACGAUGAGUACUAAGUGUUGG